UACGUAGGCAGCGAGCGUUGUUCGGAGUUACUGGGCGUAAAGCGUGCGUAGGCGGUGUCUUAAGUUUGUUGUGAAAUCUCCCGGCUUAACCGGGAGGGUGCGGCGAAUACUGAGAUGCUGGAGUGCGGGAGAGGUAAGCGGAAUUCCUGGUGUAGCGGUGAAAUGCGUAGAUAUCAGGAGGAACACCUGCGGUGUAGACGGCUUACUGGACCGUAACUGACGCUGAGGCACGAAAGCGUGGGUAGCGAACCGG
rnacentral:rRNA from 1 species